rnacentral:lncRNA from 1 species
AUUGACAGUGUCCCCGCCCAUUUGCCACGCCCUUAGUUUCUCCAGCCUGCAGCUAGUUACAUGUACUACACUACCUAGGUUAGCUAAUGAGGUGCUAACCACGCUCACCUGUACCUAAUUAAUACAGCGCAGCGGAGAACUGCGUUCAGAUACGCUUCUAAUGAAAAUGUCAAUAUAACUAUAUUUUGGAGGCGAAAGGGAAGGAUUAAGACUGCCCAGUGUAAACUAUACCCUCCAGUAGUGGAUAUUGCCCCAGCUUUGAAAGACUCCAACUUAAAGAAAGGAAGAAGAAUCUCUAAUUAUCCCCAGUUAAGCAUCUCCAUCUCCAGCACCAGGUUCCGCCUUCCUUCAGGUCCAUAUGUCAUCAUGAAUCAACAAGCUGCCCAGUAACCAAUGGUGAAUUAGCUGGUCUAAAUGGAGCAGAUGAAUAAUUCUCUGUACUCCUCACUGAAUUGAUCAUCUGUAUUGUUACCAGCAAGCAGGUAAGAGGUCAAAAACAGCACAGCUUCAGCUUUGAACUCUUCACAGGUUCUAAUGAUAGAAACCACCCAGUUUGCUGUGUUUUCUGUUAAGCAUUAGUCACAUUUUAUUUUGGUUUCUAUAUGAGUGGUUUUAUUCAUUUAGAACGUAUGACUGUGGGUUUUAGUAGCUAUUGUAAACA